rnacentral:rRNA from 1 species
UAAGGAAUAUUGGACAAUGGAGGCAACUCUGAUCCAGCCAUGCCGCGUGAAGGAAUAAGGCCCUAUGGGUUGUAAACUUCUUUUAGACGGGACAAAACCCCUUUACGUGUAAAGGGUUGAUGGUACUGUCAGAAUAAGCAUCGGCUAACUUCGUGCCAGCAGCCGCGGUAAUACGAAGGAUGCAAGCGUUAUCCGGAAUUAUUGGGUUUAAAGGGUGCGUAGGCGGACAAAUAAGUCAGUGGUGAAAGCCUGCAGCUUAACUGCAGAAUUGCCAUUGAUACUGUUAGUCUUGAGUACAGUUGAGGUAGGCGGAAUGUGUCAUGUAGCGGUGAAAUGCUUAGAUAUGACACAGAACACCGAUUGCGAAGGCAGCUUGCUAAGCUGUAACUGACGCUGAGGCACGAAAGCGUGGGGAGCAAACA